rnacentral:rRNA from 1 species
UACGGGGGGGGCAAGCGUUGUUCGGAAUUACUGGGCGUAAAGGGUUCGUAGGUGGCCAACUAAGUCAGACGUGAAAUCCCUCGGCUUAACCGGGGAACUGCGUCUGAUACUGGAUGGCUUGAGUUUGGGAGAGGGAUGCGGAAUUCCAGGUGUAGCGGUGAAAUGCGUAGAUAUCUGGAGGAACACCGGUGGCGAAGGCGGCAUCCUGGACCAACACUGACACUGAUGAGCGAAAGCCAGGGGAGCAAACGGG